UCCUUUUUGUUUAUUUAUUUGAGGUCUAACCUGCCCAAUGAUUUAUAUUUAAUGGCUGCAGUAUUUUAACUGUACAAAGGUAGCAUAAUCACUUGUUUAUUAAUUAUAGACUAGUAUGAAAGGUUUUAUAAGAAUUAAACUUUCUUAUUUAUAUAUAUAAGAAUUUAAUUUUUUAGUUAAAAAGCUAAGAUUUUUUUAUAGGACAAGAAGACCCUGUAGAACUUAAAAUUAUAUAUAUAUAAUAUUAUAUACAUAUAAUUUAAAUUGGGGAGAUUUAAAUUUUUAAUUAACAAUUAUUUUUUUAUCAAUAAUUUUUGAUUUUUUGAUCCAAUUUUUUUGAUUAUAAGAUUAAGUUACCUUAGGGAUAACAGCAUAAUUUAAUUGGAGAGUACUUAUCGAUAAUUUAAGUUUGUGA
rnacentral:rRNA from 1 species